rnacentral:rRNA from 1 species
GAGUUUGAUCCUGGCUCAGGACGAACGCUGGCGGCGUGCUUAACACAUGCAAGUCGAGCGGAAAGGCCCCUUCGGGGGUACUCGAGCGGCGAACGGGUGAGUAACACGUGGGUAACCUGCCCCUGGCUCCGGGAUAACCUUGGGAAACCGAGGCUAAUACCGGAUACGACUCGCGACCGCAUGGUCUGCGGGUGGAAAGGAUUCCGGCCAGGGAUGGACUCGCGGCCUAUCAGCUAGUUGGUGGGGUA